rnacentral:tRNA from 8 species
GGGCAGGUGGUGAAACGGCAGACACGUACGCUUCAGGAGCGUAUGCCGAAAGGCGUGGGGGUUCAAAUCCCCCCCUGCCCA